UACGUAGGGCGCAAGCGUUAAUCGGAAUACUGGGCGUAAAGCGUGCGCAGGCGGUGAUGUAAGACAGGUGUGAAAUCCCCGGGCUUAACCUGGGAACUGCAUUUGUGACUGCAUCGCUGGAGUGCGGCAGAGGGGGAUGGAAUUCCGCGUGUAGCAGUGAAAUGCGUAGAUAUGCGGAGGAACACCGAUGGCGAAGGCAAUCCCCUGGGCCUGCACUGACGCUCAUGCACGAAAGCGUGGGGAGCAAACAGG
rnacentral:rRNA from 1 species